GCACCGGCCCAUGACCAGUUCGACAUAUGUUCGCUUGCGGAAAAAAAGCGGCACCACGACUCUGUUCAUCUUCCUCGCGUGGUCGCCCCAUAGAUCUCUCCCCCACCUCGCUCGGUUUGUCUUCGUCCAUCACCACCGCUCGCAACGGGAACGGGUAACUCCACGUUGGUGAUCCCCGGCUCCGGAUUUCGUUUGCUCCUACCUCAAGACCUCCGGAUUUCUUAGGAUCCAAUCUGGCAGGUUGAUCCCCGACCAUGGAUUUCGUCUGGACCUUCGGAUUUUUUGGGAUUUCUUUCGAAUUCAUUGGGAUUUCUUUCAGAUUUAUAGGGAUUUCUACCGGAUUCAUCGACACUGAGCACAAUGCCUUCCUCCAUUGCCUCAAAUAUCUCUUCUGAAGGUUGCGAGCGUCUUCUGGUCUUAGCUGAGCCAACAAGGGUCUAUCAAUCGGUUCAAGUGGUCGUGCUCCACUUGGUAAGGAACACACAGGCACAGGGCGUGGAAUACAUCAUCAGCUUCAGGUUAUAAAUAAGCUGAGCUGAAGGACCAGUCAACUUAGAGGCAUGUCAGUCUGUUCAUCAUCAUUUUAUCCAAGCUGGGGCAAUUUCCUUUCUCUACAGGGUACAUGCUACUGCUGUCUAUCAUCACGUUUCUCUUGAAGCACAAUACUCGGCAACGUCAAUCUGCCUUAUCUUCUAAUCUCCCGCUAGAUCUAAUCUAGCAUCAUCUCAAUGCAGUCAUCAUGCAACUUUUGAAUUCAGUUUCCAGAUUUUAGAGAAACAUGCAAGGAUCUCUACAAUAGCUACCAGUACCACGACAUGAGUACCUGAAGAUGAAUUCAAUAUUUUCGAACCUUCAAGUCCACCAAGGCCACAUUUUCUCAGUAAUAUCUAUUGCCUCACCCAGAUUAUAUUGACGGAGUUUAUUGAAAAUCUAUCUCCAUAUAUCGAAUAAUGGGAAUCUAUUUCUGGUCUGGUAGCAACUCUUUGCAUUCUGAAACGUGCUUGGGGUAACUGAUCUCAAAGGACUAUUAAAUGAAGUUGGUAAAUUCUAUAAUUGAAGCUUUUGAUUAUUUCUGAAGAUAUAAGGAGUCAGGUGAGUGUUGCAAGUACUGCUUUCUAUCGAUACUCUGAUAAUUCACUUAACUUCAAGCUUACAACCUGUCUAUUGAAGUGUGCACAUAUUAUUUUGAAUUGCUUCUUUUAAUUGUACUUCGGGGAUA